AGGUUAGGACAGGGAGACAGGUGGUGCAUGGUUGUCGUCAGCUCGUGUCGUGAGAUGUUGGGUUAAGUCCCGCAACGAGCGCAACCCUUAUCUUUAGUUGUCAGCAUGAAAGGUGGGGCACUCUAGAGAGACUGCCGGUGACAAACCGGAGGAAGGUGGGGAUGACGUCAAAUCAUCAUGCCCUUUAUGACCUGGGCUACACACGUGCUACAAUGGCCUGUACAAAGGGUAGCGAAGCCGUGAGGUGGAGCCAAUCCCAAAAAGCAGGUCUCAGUUCGGAUUGCAGGCUGCAACUCGCCUGCAUGAAGUCGGAAUCGCUAGUAAUCGCGGAUCAGCACGCCGCGGUGAAUACGUUCCCGGGCCUU
rnacentral:rRNA from 1 species